rnacentral:lncRNA from 1 species
AAGGCCUUCUGUGUCCAUGCCAACGUUAUUCCAUCUAGAAUGAGUUUUCAAACCUUUGGCAUUUGCUUUAAAGCUCCUGGAGGCCACCUGCAGUCCUGGGCUCACAAUCCCUUCCUCACAUCACCACAACCUCUGCUUCUGGCAUCACUUCUACUACUUACUCUCAUCUCCUGGACCCUCUUAGAGGCACAAGAGCCCCUGUGAUUACAUCAACCCCAUCCAGAUCAUCCAAGAUACUCUCCCCAUCCUGAGAUCCUUAACUUAAUCACAUCUGUAAAGUCCCUUUGCCAUAUCAAGUCACAUUUGCAGGUCCUGGAGAUUAAGAUAUAGACAAUUUUAGGAGACCAUUACUCAGCCUAUCACAGACUCCAAAGAGGUUUUGUUU